rnacentral:rRNA from 1 species
CGUGGGCAAUCUGCCCUAAAGACUGGGAUACCACUUGGAAACAGGUGCUAAUACCGGAUAACAACAUGAAUCGCAUGAUUCAAGUUUGAAGGGCGGCGCAAGCUGUCACUUUAGGAUGAGCCCGCGGCGCAUUAGCUAGUUGGUGGGGUAAAGGCCUACCAAGGCAAUGAUGCGUAGCCGAGUUGAGAGACUGAUCGGCCACAUUGGGACUGAGACACGGCCCAAACUCCUACGGGAGGCAGCAGCC